rnacentral:piRNA from 1 species
UGCUUUUGGGAGCCUCAGAUAACAGAAGCCA